rnacentral:miRNA from 1 species
AGGCAGCUGGGUGUAGCGGAUA